GUCUGGAAAGUCCGACGGUACAGGGUGAUAGUCCCGUACACCAAAAUGCACAGGCUGUGAACUCGAAGAGUAGGGCGGGACACGUGGUAUCCUGUCUGAAUAUGGGGGGACCAUCCUCCAAGGCUAAAUACUCCUGACUGACCGAUAGUGAACCAGUACCGUGAGGGAAAGGCGAAAAGAACCCCGGCGAGGGGAGUGAAAAAGAACCUGAAACCGUGUACGUACAAGCAGUGGGAGCACCUUCGGGUGUGACUGCGUACCUUUUGUAUAAUGGGUCAGCGACUUAUAUUCUGUAGCAAGGUUAACCGUAUAGGGGAGCCGCAGGGAAACCGAGUCUUAACUGGGCGUUAAGUUGCAGGGUAUAGACCCGAAACCCGGUGAUCUAGCCAUGGGCAGGUUGAAGGUUGGGUAACACUAACUGGAGGACCGAACCGACUAAUGUUGAAAAAUUAGCGGAUGACUUGUGGCUGGGGGUGAAAGGCCAAUCAAACCGGGAGAUAGCUGGUUCUCCCCGAAAGCU
rnacentral:rRNA from 1 species